rnacentral:lncRNA from 1 species
AGACCACCAUCCCGGUAGGGUUUCUUACGGACCCGGUCCGUCCACCAUCUCUCAGGAUAUCUAGUCAGACUGACCACAUUAUACAAUUAUCAAUUUACAUAAUCUUUCAUUCUCCUUUUCCUCAGUCAGCAUCAUCAAUUUACAUACAAACAAGCAAACAGUAAUUUAUGCCAAACAAGACAACAUACAGCAUCGGUUUCUCAGUCAUUCAACCCAUAAUCAAUAAAACAGUAAAAUAUGCACGCGAAACAAUGAAAUGAAAACAUCAGACCUCAUACUGCAUUUAAAACUGUAAAAUAUGCCAAAUAACAGGUAACCGACAAACACACUAGACUCGGGCUCCAUUAGCGACCUUAAGCAAUUUCACACAUUCGUUGAUUCAAGAAAUACCGUUUUAUCAUUUCUGAACUUUAAUACCGUGAUAGGAAAUAGGGUGAGGGGUCUUUACUCGUUUCGGGGUCCGAACACGGCUUCACAGUGCGCGUACAGGCUGUUCGUAAUUUUCCCUGAAUUUUUUCCCGAGGAACUGAAACGCACUACUGGUACUUGCACGUAUUCCAAAAAAUCCCAAAUUAGGCCCAGGGCCCCUUUUUGGCCAAUAUCGCAAUUCCGGCACGGCGGCGAUUCGCCUCGGGUUGGCCGUUUUUGGUCGAAUUUGGCCACACUUGCAUCGGUCCUUGCGAUAAAACAACCCUAGGGCACUCGGGGGGCAAAAAAAUUACGGAAAAUCGAAGCUUAUUGGCGGCGGUGCUCUCGGGUGCGGCGGCUCUCCGGUGAGGUUCGUGUUUUGGUGAUUCGGCUCCAAUCAACCUGUAGAGAAAAGAAUGGUGAUCACGGUGAUAUAAAAAUUGCAUCAAACGGAGGCCGGAAAGGGCCUCAUCGGAGGCAAAAACAGAGGAGGGGCGCGGCGGCGCCGCUGGGUUUCGGCCGUGUUUUCCCGCUGUUUGGCCAAGAUUUUGGCUCAAAUUUGGUCAUAGGGGAAAUCAGCGUGGAAAAACGAGUCGGGGGUAUGAAAUUUACCUCGAUCGGCGGUCGGAAAUCU